rnacentral:rRNA from 1 species
GAUGAACGCUGGCGGCGUGCCUAAUACAUGCAAGUCGAGCGAACAGAUAAGGAGCUUGCUCCUUUGAAGUUAGCGGCGGACGGGUGAGUAACACGUGGGCAACCUACCUAUAAGACUGGGAUAACUUCGGGAAACCGGAGCUAAUACCGGAUAACAUUUAGAACCGCAUGGUUCUAAAGUGAAAGAUGGUUUUGCUAUCACUUAUAGAUGGACCCGCGCCGUAUUAGCUAGUUGGUAAGGUAACGGCUUACCAAGGCGACGAUACGUAGCCGACCUGAGAGGGUGAUCGGCCACACUGGAACUGAGACACGGUCCAGACUCCUACGGGAGGCAGCAGUAGGGAAUCUUCCGCAAUGGGCGAAAGCCUGACGGAGCAACGCCGCGUGAGUGAUGAAGGGUUUCGGCUCGUAAAACUCUGUUAUUAGGGAAGAACAAAUGUGUAAGUAACUGGGCACAUCUUGACGGUACCUAAUCAGAAAGCCACGGCUAACUACGUG